ACUUGAGUAGCUUAAUAAUUUAGAGCGCGACACUGAAGAUGUCGAUGUGGUAUAAUUAUACCUUUAAGUA
rnacentral:tRNA from 1 species